GGACGAACGCUGGCGGCGUGCCUAAUACAUGCAAGUCGAACGGUCUUUCUAUGGAAGCUUGCUCCACUGAGAAGAUAGUGGCGAACGGGUGAGUAACACGUGGGUAACCUGCCCAUAAGAGGGGGAUAACAUCCGGAAACGGGUGCUAAUACCGCAUAGUUUUCUUGAUCGCAUGAUUGAGAAAGGAAAGACGGCCUUUGUGCUGUCGCUUAUGGAUGGACCCGCGGCGUAUUAGUUAGUUGGUGAGGUAACGGCUCACCAAGACGAUGAUACGUAGCCGACCUGAGAGGGUGAUCGGCCACAUUGGGACUGAGACACGGCCCAAACUCCUACGGGAGGCAGCAGUAGGGAAUCUUCCGCAAUGGACGAAAGUCUGACGGAGCAACGCCGCGUGAGUGAAAGAAGGUUUUCGGAUCGUAAAACUCUGUUGUCAGAGAAGAACAAGUUGGAGAGUAACUGCUCCAGCCUUGACGGUAUCUGACCAGAAAGCCACGGCUAACUACGUGCCAGCCGCCGC
rnacentral:rRNA from 1 species